rnacentral:rRNA from 1 species
UACAGAGGGUGCAAGCGUUGUUCGGAAUUAUUGGGCGUAAAGGGUGCGUAGGCGGUGCGGUAAGUCUGUAGUGAAAUCUCUGGGCUCAACUCAGAGUCUGCUAUAGAAACUGCCGUGCUUGAGUGUGGGAGAGGUGAGUGGAAUUCCCGGUGUAGCGGUGAAAUGCGUAGAUAUCGGGGAGGAACACCUGUGGCGAAAGCGGCUCACUGGACCACAACUGACGCUGAUGCACGAAAAGCUAGGGGGAGCAAACAGG